rnacentral:rRNA from 1 species
UACUAGAGUAGCACUCGCAUAUCAAUAAGCGGAGGAAAAGAAACUAACAAGGAUUCCCCUAGUAACGGCGAGUGAAGCGGGAAGAGCUCAGAUUUGAAAUCUUAAAGGGUUUCCCUUUACGAAUUGUAGUUUAAAGAAGUGUUUUCUGUUGAGGUUUUGGUAAAAGUUCUUUGGAAUAGGACAUCAUAGAGGGUGAGAAUCCCGUAUUUGACCUUUACUUUCAACUUUGUGAUACACUUUCAAAGAGUCGGAUUGUUUGGGAAUGCAGUCCAAAAUGGGUGGUAAAUUUCAUCUAAAGCUAAAUAUUGGUGAGAGACCGAUAGCGAACAAGUACCGUGAGGGAAAGAUGAAAAGAACUUUGAAAAGAGAGUUAAACAGUACGUGAAAUUGUCAAAAGGGAAGCGUUUGACACCAGUGUUGUUUUUCUGAAAAUCAAUUAAAGAACUGUUUAUGCUAAGCUGUUUAGACUUUAUCAGCUAUCUGUUUAGUUUUGAGCUUUUCUUUAAUGCACUUUUCAGUUAACAAGUCAACAUCAAUUUCUUUUGCUGUAAAAAAGCUUGAGGAGGGUGGCUUGAGAUUCGUCUUAAGUGUUUAUAGCCUCUUGCCUAUGCAGUCGGAGAGAUUGAGGUCUGCAGCGUAGAUCCUUCGGGGCUAAAUGCAUUUGUGCUAAGUUAUAGCAUUUUAUAGACAACUUGUUGACUAUGAUUUGUCUUGUAGCUUACUCGCUUAUGUUAUUUUACCUACGCUUAGGAUGUUGAGCGCAUGUCUCUCUCU